rnacentral:misc_RNA from 1 species
UCUUGAAGACCCAUGUGUGUGGGUGGAAUCAAACACAACUACCCUGAGCAUUCUUUCCUCGAAUGCUGAAAUUGGACUUGGCUUCCUUUUAAUAAUCUCUUUGUUCUCGUGGGAGCGCAACAUAAUACAAACUUUCAUGUACUGGCAGCUUUUGAAGCUGAUGUAUCAUGCACCUGUGACUGCUGGUUACCAUCAGAGUGUCUGGGCCAAGAUUGGAAGGACUGUGAAUCCACUUGUUCACCAAUAUUGCCCAUUCUUGAAGACACCAAUUUCUGCUGCUCAAAGAUGGUGGUUGAGAUAGAUAGGCAAAGUUGAAAAUAGGAAGCGAAAAAGAAUUAUUCAUCUUGGAAUUUUCUCUAUCUUUUAUUGGCAUUAAAUUUGGAAGUAAGGGCACUAACUUCAGAUAUAUGGCGUAGCAGCUGCCAUUAUGAUUGUGGAUUAUGAAAAC